UGGGGAAUAUUGGACAAUGGGCGAAAGCCUGAUCCAGCCAUGCCGCGUGUGUGAAGAAGGUCUUCGGAUUGUAAAGCACUUUAAGUUGGGAGGAAGGGCAUUAACCUAAUACGUUAGUGUUUUGACGUUACCGACAGAAUAAGCACCGGCUAACUCUGUGCAAGCAGCCGCGGUAAUACAGAGGGGGCAAGCGUUAAUCGGAAUUACUGGGCGUAAAGCGCGCGUAGGUGGUUUGUUAAGUUGGAUGUGAAAUCCCCGGGCUCAACCUGGGAACUGCAUUCAAAACUGACUGACUAGAGUAUGGUAGAGGGUGGUGGAAUUUCCUGUGUAGCGGUGAAAUGCGUAGAUAUAGGAAGGAACACCAGUGGCGAAGGCGACCACCUGGACUAAUACUGACACUGAGGUGCGAAAGCGUGGGGAGCAAACA
rnacentral:rRNA from 1 species